GGCCUGCGUGCGUUUUGCUGGCGAGACGGUAGCGUGGGUCAUCUGGUUGCCGGAAUCCCGGGAAUUAACAUCGCCGGCGUUGGGGAGAACCCCCGGAGACGGGGCGGAUUCAGAACUGCAGGGAAAAGAGAGGGGGCCAUAGCUGUGUUACUCAAGCUAGUGUGGAAUUGGAAUGCCUGGGCUCAAGCACUCCUCUUGAGUCCCUGGGGAAAUACAGUUUCCCUUUUCUGAUACAAAGAUCAAGUCAACAAGAAUCAUUCUCAGGC